GCUGGGCGUGGUGGCGCGUGCCUGUAAUCCCAGCUACUCGGGAGGCUGAGGCAGGAGAAUUGCUUGAACCCAGGAGGCGGAGGUUGCGGUGAGCUGAGAUUGUGCCAUUGCACUCCAGCCUGGGUGACAGAGUGAGACUCCGUCUCAA
rnacentral:sRNA from 1 species